GCCCCUCCCGCGGCUGCGGGGAGGAGGAGGAGGAGGGAGGAAGAGGCGGAGCGGCAGCGGGAGCAGCAGGAGGAGCGGGGAGGAUGAACCGCGGGGCUCCGGCUCUGCCUGAACUCGCAGCACCCCGGGAGCGUCGCCCCCAUCCCGCAGCCUCAGCCAUUUCUGUUUCAGAGUCAGAUCCUCACCAUGGGCUCUGCCUUCAGCUGUGCAGAUUCCAUCUGUGCAAGCAGGCAGAGCUUGGGGUGAGGGGCAGAGGGAAUCAGCCAAUUCCUGCCCCAGGCAAGAAGAGCCAGGUACAUUGUCCCCCCUUUGCCCCAGCAGUGUUAAUUUGCAUUUCUAAAGCUCCUCGUGGGUGCCUGGAAUGCAGCUUCUCUUCCAGAGCAGCUUCAGCAGCCUCACAUGUGGCCCCCCCACAACCUGCUGAUUUUUUUUUUCCUUCAGAUCAUCUGUUUACUGUUUAUGGGUAAAAGGGUCACACUUAAAUCUCUUCUAGUUUUACGAAGUGCAGCCUAAAGGUGAACGUUGAAAAAUGCAGACCAAAAUUUUGGUAUCUCUAAGAGCCACAUAAAACACAGACAAAAAAAAUUCCAAAGCAAUUCACUUUCUUCUCUUUCUCCUCGGAGUAAAAACUCAUUCUCACAUCCCUGACCAAACCCAA